AACGGAGACAGAUAGCUUGAAUCUAAGGUUGUAUGUGAUAUUA
rnacentral:guide_RNA from 1 species